rnacentral:rRNA from 1 species
CGCGUAGGCGGCCCUGUAAGUCCGCUGUGAAAGUCAAAGGCUCAACCUUUGAAAGCCGGUGGAUACUGCAGGGCUGGAGUCCGGAAGAGGCGAGUGGAAUUCCUGGUGUAGCGGUGGAAUGCGCAGAUAUCAGGAGGAACACCGAUAGCGAAGGCAGCUCGCUGGGACGGUACUGACGCUGAGGCGCGAAAGCGUGGGGAGCGAACAGGAUUAGAUACCCUGGUAGUCCACGCCGUAAACGAUGGGCACUAGGUGUGGGAGGUGUCGACUCCUCCCGUGCCGUCGCUAACGCACUAAGUGCCCCGCCUGGGGAGUACGGCCGCAAGGCUAAAA